AUAUUUCAUUCGAUGCAUUCACGCGCGCAUGCAUUUGCAUGUAUCAAAUAAAUAUGAAGGCAUUGGGGGCCUUCGCACGCAUCGCAUUAAUCCGACGAUAAUCGACUCGCAUAACGUGCUCAAAGUGUUGCAUUAACAUUGAUGUUAAUAAUGAUCAAAUGAUUAAUGCUAAUUAUCUAUCAUCCAUGAAUAUUCUUGGAAAAUAUUUUUGUCCCCGGAUUCGUAAAGUGAAAGCAACAUCACGCGAAAUGUCCAAGACGUCGUAUCUUCGUCUUGCUAGGAUGUAGGACAUGAUUCCUGCGUGCUUACACGCAACAUUGCGUGCAACGUCGUUUUCAAGAGGUUUUUCUGACGUCACCGAAGAGCGUCAUUAACCUCGUGAAUAAUAAAUAUCAUACGGUCCGUGAAAGAAGUUUCUUCUUCUUAAAAUUCAAUUUGAUCGACACGAAACAUCAAUGAGCAACGAAACGGAAC